CCUGCUCCAGCAGCACAAUGUGAUCCACCAGCAUGGAGGAAAGCCAAUAAGGCGUCCAAUAAGAUAAGUCUUAUAAAAUAUAUAGUUUAUGAUAGUUAAGACUGAGCUAACAGAUGAGAAUCCUAGUCAUUGGCCAAGCAGCUUUGAACCUAAUACAAGUUUCUGUGUAUUCAUUUGGGCCUAACUCGGGCGGGCUGCUGGCGUAAAGCUCACAUGUGGCGGUGGGGUUCAGGCAGCUUUUGGCGGGAAGAUUUAUCAUAACAGGGGAUUGUUUGUUUGGGUGUUUUUUUUUUUUUUUCAAGACAGAGUCUCUCUGUGUAGACCUGGUUGUACUGAUCUCAAAUUCAGCGAUCCACCUGCCUCUGCCUCCUGACUACACUACUACACGGGGCUGAGGUUGGCUUUUUAACAUCAGUUCUAUGUUUGUGAGUCAGAGUCUUACCAGGACCAAUGGUUACUGCCUACCAAAUGCCAGCAAUAUUUGCUACCUUUCCUAGCAACCACAACUGGCUCGACAUAUUACCAAAUUUCUAUGGAGCAAGAGUUGAGAUUGUCAGGUUGGGGAGUGAAACUGCCCCAGUUAAACACUACUGUCUGGAUGUAUUAAUCUUUGCAUAUAAAAUUCUCUGCUCCUUUCAAGGACAAACAGCUGCUCUGAUUUCUUUUAAGUUGAACUUCAAAACCCCAGGCUGAGUGAGUUCUUGGAAUGAUUUCAAAGUCUGCCUGGCUGCUAUAGUAAUAAUAAUUUACUAGCUACAUGGGGUGAGGGAUCCUGCUUGUGAUCUGAAAGACAGAAUUCAGAGCCAUCAUCUUGGGUUCUAUUACUACCCUACAAUUAACUCCUUAUGUCUCAGUUUCACUGUUUUUCAAGUGAGAGCAAUUGUACCUCACCCACAUUGUAAACAUUUGCCUGUGAGGACAGGAUGAACAAAGCUAGGAUAGUCUUCUAAUAGACACCAAACAAAACACUAACAAGUCUCCACUGUCUGGGGAAAAAAAUAAACAGAAAAACAACAAAACAAAAACACCCAUAGCACAUUAACAGAGGUGUCAGGAUGAUUCAGUGGGGAAAGGUGCUUGCUGCCAAGCCUGAUGACUUGAGAUGGACACCUGUCCAUCACCAUGGAAGGAGGGACUUCUCAAAACUGUCCUACCACUGCACAUGCGCAUCACAUCAUAAAAUUAAUGACAACUUUGAAGUGCUCCAUGUGCUUUCUUAUUUUUAACUGCAGAUGAUUGUCUUACUAGUGUAGGAGUGGGAUUAUUUCCCACUAAAAAACACCAGCAAAUUGCUAAUGCUGAACAGAGAACAAAUGUGAUCUGACAUCUAGGAUGCUUCCUGUAGCCACAGGCUUCAGACAUUCUGAUGUGCUUCUUAGCCCAUGUGGCUGCAGUGACUUUGGUGGUGUCAACAGAAACAAAUGAGAGCCUUGUCAGAGGCUCCAUGGAUGAAAAGCCUAGGACAGAUGAAUCCAAACUAUCUGUGAGUGUGGAUGCUAUAAUAAUUGAAUUAGCUUUAGGAUUUUAGGACCCCAUGGAAUGAGAGGCCAAGACACGAGAGAAGAGUGAAAAGGGAAACUGCAAGAUUGCCAAGAUAAAAUGUCAGUCACUUGAAAAUCUUCCAGGGCAUGAGAAAGUCAAAAUGUUGCUAAUUUUUCUCUUCCUACUUCCUGUACUAAAUGACUUACAUCAAAACUCAGUUUAUUAAGAUCAUCAAAGUCAAGUGAGCCACAGGUUCUAUGAAUAAUUUUAUUGGUAGAAAUAAAGAUUAAUUUCUAGAUUUUCUUUCUUUCUUAAGUAGUAGCUGGAAAGAUGGCUCAGCAAAUAAAAGCACUUGUUGUGAGUUUGAUCCCUGUAACCCACAGUUGACAAAGAAGACAGACUUCCAGAAGCUGUCCUUUGACCUUCGGAUACAUUCCAAAUGAGCACACCAGGACUCAUAUCACACACACACACACACACACACACACACACACACACACACACACACACACACACACCAUAAAUAUAUGUUAAAAAUAAAAGUAAUAAAUGAAACAAGUAAAUAUUUCAUUCCAAUAUAAUCUGGAUUGUGACAUCUGAUUAAGAACUUUACGUGUUUUAAAGCUUUUUUAACAUCGUUUUGGAAACUGCUUCUCUUUAGUUACAAAGCACAUUCUGUGUGCUACCACUUAACACUUGAGCAUAUGCCUAAUGGAAACUGAUACACAUCCUAAUUUUGAAAUUUCCAAAGAAAUGUUUGUAUGCUCUUAAAUUUGUGGAAUCUCUAAAUAGAAGGGUCAUAAUUACAGUGGUUCUGUGUCUUCUCUCUCAGGAUUGCCAUUUGUGCUCUAUCUGUCUUCAAAUGUACUGAGUGUACUUGGAAAUCCCAAAAGCAGUUGUUAAAAUGCUCUUUCUGUAACUUCCCCAGAACAAGCUUUUCCAGUUACUCUACUCCCCCUUACUCAAAGGCCUCUUCUAGUUGCCAUCCCCCCAAAUUAAAUAUUCUGCAUCUUUGCUAGUGACAAAGGUAGGUUUGGUUUUAUGUUUGUAAUUUGACUUAUCAAUUUAGUUGUGUGUCUGGGUGUGUGUGUGGAGGUCAGAGGACAGCCUGAAGGAUAACUAGGUUCUCUCUUUCCACAUAUGAGUCUGGGAGAUCCAACUCAGGCUAUCAGGCUCAGUGGCAAGUGUUUUCAUUCACUGAACCAUCUCAUCAGUCCUGGGUUUUAAAUAUUUUAAAGUAAAUUAUAGGUAAAAACUGCAUUGUAAAAAGAAACAAAAAAAGAAAAACCAGGUGGUGGUGGCAACAAGGUGGUGGUGGCACAUGCCUUUAAUCCCAGUACUUGGGAGGCAGAGGCAGGCGGAUCUCUGUGAGUUUGAGGAUAGUCUGGUCUACAGAGUGAGAUCCAGGACAGUCAUAGUGGUUACACAGAGAAACCCUGUCUCAAAAAAAAAAAAGAAAGAAAGAAAGAAAAGGAAGAAAAAAAGAAAGAAAAGAAACAAACAACCCUAAAACUAUUGUACAUACUUUAAAGCAAUAAUACAGAAUCUAUGUUUCCCAUUAAAAACAAUUUUAUUAACAAACUCUGGCUGCAAAGAUGGCUAAGCAAGUAAAAGCACUUGCUGCCAAGUCUGAGGACCUGAGUUCAAUCCUUGGGACCCACAUAGUGGAAAAAGAAAACCAACUCCUGCAAGUUGUCUUCUGACCUACAUAUGCCCAUGCUGCUCUGGCCUUUCUCUCUCUCCUGCCCCCUCUCUCUCUUACACACACACACACACACACAAAUAACUAAAACUUUUCUUAAAUGAAUAAACUCAAAUGACCUUUUUGUUAUGUGAGACAUAAGCUUUAAUUCAAUCCCAUUAUUCAUUUCUUCCCAAAUAUAUCAACCAACUAGAAGUAUUAAUUCCAUUAUUCAGUGUGCAUCCCAUCAUACCUUACUAUUUACAACAGAGUCUACAAAUAGCCUGUUAGAACCCUGAGUGUGCAGCAGCACAGCCCUGCCUGGCGACUGUAUGCAGCAACGGCAGCAGUUCAACCUGAUAUGUGUUGGGCUCAGAUUAGAGAGAUCAAGGGGAAUUUGACAGCAAGUUGGUUUCACAUGGGACUGGCUAAUGAUCAGCCCAGUGUCAUUUGGAAAUAAUUUGGGGAAUUAUGACAGAGAUGCUAAUAUACUACGUAACAAUAAGUCUUUAUUUCAUCCGACCAAGCUCUGUCACCACGUGGGUGCUUUCUGCCAGGCUGCCCGAGUUCUGCCCACCGCCACAUUAAGGUCCCAAGUAACACACAUAUUAGGUACAAAUGCUGCUUGGCCAAUGACUAGGAUUUCUCAUUUGCUAGCUCAGUCUUAAUUAUCAAAUCUAUAGAUUUUAUAAGACUUAUCUUAUAAAGGAUGCCUUCCACUGGCACCCUCUCUUGCCAGUGGAUCAUAUUGUGACUCCAGAGCAGAGACCAGAAGGAAGAGAGAAGGGACGACUUCUUUCUUGCCCUUGCUUAUAUAUGAGUCUCCCUGCUAUGAGUCACUUCCUGCCUGGAUCUUUUACUACAUUUCCCAGAAUCCUCCUUGACUUCUAGUCCCACCUAUCUUGCUUCCUCAAAUAAAGGCCAAGUAGUACUUUAUUUAUUAACCAAUAAAAGAGACAUAUGCAGAAAGACGUCCCCCAUCAACACUAUAUUUAUAUGAAGCUGCAAUGCUGUAUCAGGUGGUUCAGGGAUCCAGUAUGGAUCACUUAAAUACAAUUUUGAGGGAAUCUCACAUAUCUGCUUACAAUGAUGGAUUUCUAAAGACAUUCAGUGAUUCUGUCUCCUGAAAAUUAUGAGAUGUUAAGAACUGAAAAACAAACAAACAAACCUUUAGAGAUAGCACACAAUUUUUUUUCACACAAAGGCAAAGAGACCAGUAAAGCUCUUUACAUCACUAGUAAGUGGCAACAUCAGGGCCUGAGCUAAGCCUGUGAGAUGCACUCCAGGGCACCACUCACAUCACAGGAUCAUGUUUAUUAUGAACUCUUCAGGGUAGUCUGGCAAUCUGUAGACACGAGGAAGAGCAGAUACUGCCAUCUCGAGCCGGAAGACAUCUUCCUCUUCAAAGCAUCUCAUACUUUCUAUUGAGAUGCCUCCGAGUGCUUGUGCCCACUCACGUAGCAAAGGGCAACCUGAUCUCCCCCAAAUCUACUGAUUUCAAUGCUAGUCACACCUUUAAAAAAUACCUCACAGCCCUAUCUAUGUGUGCUUGACCAAAUAAAUAGGCACAUGGCCUACCAGACACAAAAUUAGCUAUCAUUAACCCUUCCUCAAUCCACACAGAAAAACAAAGAAUUUAUAUGUCAGAUUUUCAUUUGGGCUCAUUCCAUGCUUUGACACAUGUUGUUAAAGGCUUCAACUCCCACUUAACACUAGAUUUCAUAAGACAUGAAUAUCAUCUCACUCAACAUUUGUUGGAUCAUAAGAAAUUGGAUUUGUAGUUCCUUCUGGUCUGCAAAAUAUGGUUCAUGAGUAUAUCUUGUAUAAUCUUCACAAGUCACUUUAGUAGCACAAAUUUGAGCAGAAACAAGGCUAAGACUGUCACAUUAACAGGUAAUAAUCAAGAAGGAUCAGAUCCCCUGCCUCAGUGCCAUUGCUCAUCAAGGGCUAGGACAAGAAGUACCAGGUACUCAAAGACAGCAGAGGUCUUGUCAUUUCUAAAUCAAUCUACACCUGCAUGCAAGUUCAGAAUUAAUCACUGUCCACAAGUAGUGUUUAGGGCUUUUCAAAACUGUUUACUCAAUACUAAGUUUACACCUCAGAGAAUUUUCAUAAAAUUUCAUAAAAUUGUUACCAACAUGAAGAUAUGGGACAUGAUGGGGGUUGUCCUUCUGUAUGUAUGUUUCUCUUAUUGGUUGAUGACUAAAACACUGAUUGGCCAGUAGCCAGACAGGAAGCAUAGGCAGGGCUACCAGACCAGAAGAAGGCUAGGGAGAGGAAGGCAGAUGGGAGCCACCAGAGAGACGCCAUGUAGACACAGAAGAGUAACAUGCCAGGGUAUUACUGGGUAAGUCAAGAGCACAUGGAAAUUAAUUAGAUUAAUAAAUUAAAUUAAUCAGAUUAAUAGAAAUGGGUUAAUAAAUAAGAGACAGCUAGCCAGUAAGAAGCCCUAGGCAUCAGCCAAACAGUUUAUAAAUUAAUACAAGUCUUUGUGAGUUUAUUUGGGGCUAAUCGGCUGCGGGACCAGGCAGAACAGAAACUUUCAUCUACAGGGACAUGAUGGUCACCUCAGAAGCCCCUGCACCAAUGCCCACACCCUAGUCACCAUCUUUCAUAUAAAGUGAACUGAAGUCUACUCAGAUCUUCCCAACUCUGUAAAAAUGAAAUUCUCCUGCAUGUAGGUUUUUGGAUGUGGCAUCCUGAGUGGCAGAUUAUAUUUAUGAGAUUAAUUUAUUUGUUUGUUCAGUUCUGUUAUGUUGUAUAGCAGCCAACAGUAUAAAUUAAACACUGUUUAUUUAUUUGAUUAUCCAGUCAGCAAUUUGAAUGUUUUCCAGUUGGGGAGUUCUGAGAGUUGCUUCCAACAACCUCCCAUACAUAUUAUGGUUUUCCUAUGCAUGUGUCCUGUUCAGUGCCCAGACAUGAACUACUGGGUCAUACAUGUGCACACAUUCAGCUUUACUGGAAACUGCCAAAUAGCUUCCAAACAUGACUGUACCAAUUUGCACAACCUCAGUCAUUGGUGAGAUCUUUUGUUCUAGUUAAUGUCUCUGUGCAAUGUUAUACUUUACAUAAGUCAAUCUACAACACUAUAAAGUCUGCUUUCAAAACUUCAUAGGAAUUUUGCCAUGCUGAAGAUUUUUUGAGAUUUAUAACUGUUCAGAUAUAUAGUUUUAAUUUGUCUUUCACCACUAUACAACAUUCCAAUGUCUGAAAUCUGAAUCCUAUUGAUAAUCAUUGAGGUGACAUCUAUUUUUUCUCUAUUAUAGACAAUGACUAUAACUACUCUUUGGCCCAUGUGUGAGAAUUUCUCAGUAAUAUAAAUAGUAUACCUUCAGUUAUAUUAGAGAACUUCAAAUUGUUUUCUUUUGGGGUGGAGUUGGAAAAGAGUCUUUAUAUAUUGCCCUGGCUUGCCUCAAAUUUGUGAUCCUUCCCCUCAGCCUCCAGAAUAUGUGGGAUUAUAGUGUGUGUCAAAAAACACUGCUCAAAAAUUGCUUUCUGACAUGACUGCACUGACUUCCUUUACUACAGAUGGGCCCUGAGGAUGUCUGUUACUCCUGAGCCUUGCCAACAACUGGGGAACGAGGCAGCAGGAGAUUCUCACUGGAACCUGGGAUGUGAAUUGGUACUUCUGGCCUGGAACUUGGGCUACUGGACUGGCUGCUGGCAGAAACCAUCUCCCCCUGCUUAUGACAUUAUCACAGACAAGCUUAACUUCAUGGACUCUACAUUAGCAGCAGUGGCAUCUUAUGAUGGGGGAUGUGCUUCCGUAUAUGUUUCUCUUAUUGGUUGAUGAGUAAAACACUGAUUGGCUGAUUGGCCAGGCAGGAAGUAUA
ensembl:lncRNA